rnacentral:rRNA from 1 species
UAGAUGCGAGAGUAGAGCAUAUCAAUAAGCGGAGGAAAAGAAACUAACAAGGAUUCCCCUAGUAACGGCGAGUGAAGCGGGAAGAGCUCAAAUUUGAAAUCUUAAAGGGUUUCCCUUUACGAAUUGUAGUUUAAAGAAGUGUUUUCUGUUGGAGUUUCGGUAAAAGUUCUUUGGAAUAGGACAUCAUAGAGGGUGAGAAUCCCGUAUUUGACCGUUACUUUCCAGCUGUGUGAUACACUUUCAAAGAGUCGGAUUGUUUGGGAAUGCAGUCCAAAAUGGGUGGUAAAUUUCAUCUAAAGCUAAAUAUUGGCGAGAGACCGAUAGCGAACAAGUACCGUGAGGGAAAGAUGAAAAGAACUUUGAAAAGAGAGUUAAACAGUACGUGAAAUUGUCAAAAGGGAAGCGUUUGACACCAGUGUUGUUUUUCCGAAAAUCAAUUAAAAAUUGAUUCAUGCCUAGGUUGUAUUGACCUUAUCAGCUUGCAAUUUAGUUUUGGGUCUCUUUUUGAUGCACUUUUCGGUUAACAAGUCAACAUCAAUUUCCUUUGCUGUAAAAAGGUAAGAGGAAGGUGGCUUCAAUUUCGGUUGAAGUGUUUAUAGCCUUUUAUCUCUGCAGUCGGGGAGAUUGAGGUCUGCAGCGUAGAUCCUUCGGGGCUAGAUACAUUUGUGCUAAGCUAUAGUUCUUUAUAGACAACUUGUUGACUAUAAUCAAUCCUGUAACUUACUCGCUUAUGCUAUUUUACCUACGCUUAGGAUGUUGACACACGCGCGUGCUCG